rnacentral:rRNA from 1 species
ACUCCUACGGGAGGCAGCAGUGGGGAAUAUUGCACAAUGGGCGCAAGCCUGAUGCAGCAACGCCGCGUGAGCGAUGAAGGCCUUCGGGUCGUAAAGCUCUGUCCUCAAGGAAGAAUAAAUGACGGUACUUGAGGAGGAAGCCCGGCUAACUACGUGCCAGCAGCCGCGGUAAUACGUAGGGGGCAAGCGUUAUCCGGAAUCACUGGGGCGUAAAGGGGUGCGUAGGCGGUUUUCAAGUCAGAAGUGAAAGGCUAUGGCUCAACCAUAGUAAGCUUUUGAAACUGUUAAACUUGAGUGCAGGAGAGGAAAGUGGAAUUCCUAGUGUAGAGGUGAAAUUCGUAGAUAUUAGGAGGAACACCAGUGGCGAAGGCGACUUUCUGGACUGUAACUGACGCUGAGGCACGAAAGCGUGGGGAGCGAACAGGAUUAGAUACCCUGGUAGCACAGAGAAGUCGUAGGGGCAAGGCACACAGGGGAUA